GAGGCACGGGGAAGCCACGAGCAGCAGAGAAAAACGGAGGGGGCCAAAUCAGAGCUUGCCGGGCUUGACAGCUCCUCUUGCAGCGUCCAAGGUGUACGACCAGAGCUUCGCAAUGAAGAGCACACUCUGCUUUCAAAUCAGUCAGGAAGCUCCCGAAAAACGGCCACCUGAGAUGGACACACCCAUCUAUACACAGGUGUAGAGAACAGCUUUGCAAAUAAAGUGCCAAGGAGAUAUUACGACGAGCUGAGACCUAUUAUACGCUCAAUAUGAGUCACCCCAGGAUGCUGCCAAGGUCAAUUGGAUGUCAGUACCAUUGACUCAGUAGGUAUCUAUGGACUUCCACUGCAAUGUGUACGAGGUCACAUUCAAGGAAGAUAACCACUACCCUGCCCAAGAUCUCCACUAAAGAUGGAACUCAGGGAUGCGACUACUGAACAAUCCGGAAGGAGCGAGAGGAAUCGCCUCAGUUUAUCCUCCAUCACCUGAACAAUCACAUUCUCACCUGUCUCCUGGGGAAAAUUGCUUCAUUAUCAAGUGAACUUCUCUAUGAAGGAAUUUGCAGUUGCUUCUUCCACGGGAACACCAAAUUGUCAGUCCAAAUGUCCCUUUGCUGUUCCUGGCAGUAAUUCCUCCAUGUGACCAUGAGUAUUGUGAGCCCUUCCUUCAUCAUCUUCUUCUUCUGAAAGAAAAACUGAAGCAUCCCACUCUUUCCUCCCAAGUGACUAACUCCUUUCAGGCCCCAUUAUCCUUGUCCUCCUGAUUCUCCAUGCUUACCCAAGCAUUCAAGUUACAGUAAAAGAUAAUGUGUCAUGUCAUAGAAAGAAGGGAGGUAGGAAGGGAUGGAGUGAGAAAGGAAAGCAUGGAGGGAUAAAAAAAAGGGAAGAAAGAGAAGAAAAGGAAGACAUGAUAAGAUGAAGGCACUGAUAAAAGUAUCUUCCAAAGACAACAGAUUUUUAUGGGACUGUAAAGAUUUUUCUAUUUUAUUGUAAUUGUAGAAGAGACGAUGCCAACAGAAUAGUUUGCAUAACUCAUAUCAUGUUCAGAGCCACCCAUUCAAACAAAUUCGCGUGAUGCCUACCAUAUGGCGCUGGGCUGCAGGUCAAAGCUCUCAGCCAUAGUCACUGCCCUUGGGCUUCUCAGGUGAGUAGGGGGCAAAGCAGUAAGCAAGAAAGAGCAGGGACCUGACUUGGGGGCUCAUAUGGGAGGGAGUAUUCUUAAGGGGGAGGGUGUCACUCCCCAAACACUUCUCGGUUCUGAUAAGAUCAUCAUAGUCAAAUUGCAAUUAUUCUUUCUUAAAAUUUAUCAACAAUGUUUCUGCUAUUCUAGUAUUUUAAGAAAUAAGGCUCACCUCCAUGAGGAAUCAUAACAUAACGUGUUCUUCUAAGUGGUGGAAAGUUGAUGACAGUGCACUUUUAGUCCUUCGGGAAGCUGAUCGCUUGUACUUGAGUAUGCUUGUUUCAUAAAUACCAAAAUGCUCCAAUGGGGGCAAGGACUCGCAUAAGCAGGUCCAUUCACCCUUUCUUCUAUUUGUUGUGGAAAUAUGCCUUGUUCUCCUACGAUGUGGCAAUCAUUGGUCUAGGUACCAGGGCUGAAGUCGAGUUCAUAGCAAUCAAGGUGCUUGCUCCUGUGUCAUACAUCCUAGGUAGAGACAAGAAUAAACAAGGUCAGUGGAUGAGAAAGUUCUGCUUGUAGUAAAUUCUAUGAAAAAAAAAACAGAAUAGAUGAGAAGGGGAAGAGGUUCUUAGGUUAGAGAAACUUCUCAGAAAUGAUAACCUCCGAGCUGUGACUUAAAGGAUAAGAAAGAGUUAGCCAGGGAAAGACUAAAGCAAACAGAAGAAGGAACUGGCACAAGGCUCUGGGGUAAGAUGUACGUGGGCAGCGACACUCUAAAGAAAGCAAGUGGGGGAACUAUGAGAGUCAGUAUGGGCACAACCACAAAAGGGAAGGAGAAAAACCAGCCAUGAUAAACACAUACAUACUCACAUAAGUGCCGUAACUGCGGGACAUAGAACAGAGUUAGGAGAAAUCAACUAUCACUCUAAAAUAACCUUCGGGUGGGUCCUCACCUUUCUUGUGCCAUCUGGUCCCAGCACAGUUUCCUAAAAGCCAACCCAUUCUAUUAGUAAUUUCCUCAUUGCUAAAGAAAAAAAAACUUAGCACAUGUAACAUAAGAAAAGAUUCAUCUGGACUCAAGUUUGGGGGUACAGUCAGUCCAUCAUGAUGGGGAAGGCGUGGUGUCAAGUGGUGUCUUGCUGGGACAACAGGAACAGGAGGCAAAUGGUCACCGUGUUUGCUAUCAGAGGCAGGGAGUGAUGACUGUUGGAACUCUUCCUUCUCAUCCUCUUUUUUCUCAGUCUGGGACACACUCAACCCUCCAGUUUCUGAGAUUUCCACAUUUUCAGAGGGUCUUCCUGUCUCAGCUAAACAUCCUUGGAAAUACCCUCACACACAUGCCCCACGAAACCUCUCCUGGGUGUUCACAAAUAAUGUUAAGUGAUAAUAAAGACCAAUCCCACAUGUCUACCCCUGUCAUCUUGGCACCCAAACAUGUCACUUUAAAUCAUAACACUCUACCCCUGGUCCCUAAAGUCUCAUGAUAAUUUCACAAUGAAAAAUGUUCAUCUCCCAAAGUUCCCAGAGUCUUAAAAGCCAAGUUCAAUGUUUCUUCUAAGUAAGAAUGUAAUAUCUUAACUACAAGCCCCUACGAAAGGAGUUAAGCUACAUAAUUCCUAUAUGCAAUAGCAGUUCCGUGCCAGAAUAUGGGCUUGUGAUGACAUCAUCAAGUCUUCAAAAGACUUGGGCAGCUCACCCUCUCCAGUUUUGCCACCUGCAACACGCAUAGCCUCUCACCUAAGUGAACUCCACUCUGGCAGCUUUCCUCAGAACUGGGUUUCACCUCCACAGCUUCACACAGCAGCCUUUUUAGUGCCUCCUUAGGGACUCCAACCCAGCCCAUAUUCCCUGGCUUCACUCCUUUCUGGAACCUUGGGGCAAGCCUCCACCGUCUAAAAAUCUUAUAUUUUGCAUCUCUUCAAGACCAGCUCUACAGUUCUGGACAAUGUCGCCAAGUACUGUGCCCCUGAAGAUGUGCCCUGGCCUCUCCCACUACGGUAUAGUGGCUUCUGUAUUUUUUGGUGAAUGGGCUGGGGAAACAUUCCUCUAAACAGGUCUUCUC